GACGAACGCUGGCGGCGUGCCUAAUACAUGCAAGUAGAACGCAGUUGCGAACGGGUGAGUAACGCGUAGGUAACUGCCUCAUAGCGGGGGAUAAAUAAUGGAAACGAUAGCUAAUACCGCAUUCUGUGAGAUGGACCUGCGUUGUUUUAGCUAGGUGGUGAGGUAAAGGCUAACCAAGGCGGCGAUACAUAGCCGACCUGAGAGGGUGAUCUGGCCACCUGGGACUUGGACACGGCCCAGGCUCCUUCGGGAAGGAGCAGGAGGGAAUCUUCGGCAAUUGACGGAAGUCUGACCGCGCACCGGCGCGUGAGUUAAGAAGGUUUUCGGAUCGUAAAGCUCUGUUUUUAGAGAAGCGGUAACUAAACAGAAAGCGACGGCUAACUACGUGCCAGCAGCCGCGGUAAUAC
rnacentral:rRNA from 1 species